GCGUUGUCCGGAAUUAUUGGGCGUAAAGAGUUCGUAGGCGGUUUGUCACGUCGGUUGUGAAAACCCAAGGCUCAACCUUGGGCCUGCAAUCGAUACGGGCAGACUAGAGUACUGCAGGGGAGACUGGAAUUCCUGGUGUAGAGGUGCAAUGCGCAGAUAUCAGGAGGAACACCGGUGGCGAAGGCGGGUCUCUGGGCAGUAACUGACGCUGAGGAGCGGAAGCGUG
rnacentral:rRNA from 1 species